ACUCUGGGCUGCUGGUGCGGAUAUGAGAAAGAGAGACAAUAGAGCCCUUUCAGCCUAUAAAUCCAUGUAGGGGUCAACCUCAAAGAUCCAAGGCAGCUGACCCGGGAUCAGAAAGCAACCAGACCAACUCACCCCACAGUCAAACAGGAGAUGGAGUUGCCCAUCGAUCCACUCCUCGAUGUCCAGUCUCCGCUGCAGGUCUUUGCGGUUGUAUUUGACGGGACACCAGCAAUCCUUGAUCAACAGGAAGAGCCAAAAAUGAGUGUGCCCACAUUUGUCUGUUUUCACAUUUCCUUUUGACUGCUUUACAUAGCUUUUGUUAUUAACUUAAAGCCAUCAGCUGUUGUAAAGGUUUCGACUGUUGCAUAAGUACAUGUUCUAACCUUUAAAGUACCUACAGAUUUAUAUUAACAUAUUUGGAUGAUAUACAUCUUACAGUUAAUUUUGUCCGUUAGACAAUGAAGUCAUACAAUUAAAGCUACCAAUUGAAUCACAGUCCUGUUUUCUAGUAUGCAAAUAUAGUUGACUGUAACUUUAAAUGUAACAAUCCACACACCCCAAACCACUUAUUAUAUGUGCUCAUGCAGUCUGCAGCUUGAGAAGAGAAACGAUUUGUGGUAUAUUGUUGUCUCCUCUCAGGGCGGAAACCAACUUCACCCCCACAGUGAAAUUAAUUAAAGACAUAAUCAGAUCAUGCAUUCAUUUACGCUUGAUUUGUACCCAUAUUACAUAAUAACUGACAAAGGUUGGCACCCAAUUCACAGUUCAACAGUGUACUCAUAUUUGAUUUUAACUGUCUACUUUUAAAAGUAAAAUCUGUUCUACGUGAAUUUAUCAAAUAUGUAUAAAGCAAGACACUUAAACCAUGACUCUUAGCUGUGAAGAUUUUAGGAACAUUUAUCUAGAGCAUUCAGCCAUUAUUAAAACAUACAGACUUACAGACUGUUGUCUAAAUGUCGUACAGUACAACCUAAACAAUCCUGAAAUGUUGAUGAUUCUCUUGCACACAGCCCACCUCACAUGCAGCAGCCUUCAUCUUGCUCUGUUUUCUUUGUAUUUGUUAACUACUUUAGUAGAAGAAGCAAGUUGAUACCCAGGCGUACGUAGUGUAACGUAAGUGUAUAUUGUAUAACCCGCCCUUCUCAAAUUUGACACCGGACAGCGGUUGACCAGAAAGGUCAAAGGAUUACAGGCCGAGACAAUUUGUCCACUGAUAAAGAAACAACAGCUGUGAUGAAUCAGAUUAGAAACGGAAAUGAGGUAGACAUAAUGCACACAUUUGUAAAUCUGAUUUGAAACUGAAUUUUGU